rnacentral:rRNA from 1 species
GUUUCAGCAGCCGCGGUAAUACGUAGGGUGCGAGCGUUAAUCGGAAUUACUGGGCGUAAAGCGUGCGCAGGCGGUGAUGUAAGACAGAUGUGAAAUCCCCGGGCUCAACCUGGGAACUGCGUUUGUGACUGCAUCACUCGAGUACGGCAGAGGGAGGGGGAAUUCCGCGUGUAGCAGUGAAAUGCGUAGAGAUGCGGAGGAACACCGAUGGAGAAGGCAGCCUCCUGGGCCAGUACUGACGCUCAUGCACGAAAGCGUGGGGAGCAAACAGGAUUAGAUACCCUGGUAGUCCACGCCCUAAACGAUGUUAACUAGUUGUUCGGUGAGGAGACUCAUUGAGUAACGCAGCUAACGCGUGAAGUUGACCGCCUGGGGAGUACGGCCGCGAGGUUAAAACUUAAAUGAAUUGACGG